CAAGGGUGAAUUAGUAAUUAAGGGGUUGAUUGUGAUUUGAAUGUUGAGUUAAUAAUUUGUGUUGAUUGGAUGUCAUAAUGGUAGGAUUAAAGGGUGGAAAGAUAGUUCGAGGCAAAAUGCGCGAGCACAAGUGACAAUUUUCUCACCGUGCUACGCGCCAUGGCGUACCAUCCAGGGAUUACUUAAAGCUGAUGUGAUUAGCUUGUGAAAUUAGAAAGGAAAAGGCUAGAGACACGUCUGGUGGGGAAAAGAAGGCCAUCUCUAUUAGGGUAAGCCAUAAUUAGAGCUCAGGAGUCUGCUUCAAUUGAUAACUUGUUAGAUUGAGCACCUGUGAAGUUGCUCGUGAGAAUCUAUACCCUUGGGAGCUUAGUAUGAUUGGUAACCCUUAAUAGCAAGGGUUAGAGGUGAAGAGAGCGUGAGAAGGUUUAGAAAGGAAGCAAGGAAAGAGUAGUCUCAAUUGGUAGUGGUAUGACUAUCAUUUGAAUGAAAUGAAUGUAUAAAGUUGUUUAUUGAGUUAAGUUGCCAACUAUGAUGCAUAAGUGAUUGUAUGUUGAAUUAUGUUGUGAACCUUGCUUAUAUGUAUGUAUAUGAUGUUGAUUAUACCGAGGUGUCCUAGUGGAGGAUACAUGGGUAGGCUUAAAUGUGAAUCAAGCAAGUAUAUAUUGUGUUGUAAAUUAAUCCACUUAUGUAUAUAUGUGAUGAUUAUGGGAUGAUAAUAUGUUGAUGGUGAUUUGAAUAUGAAUUGAAUGUAAAUUGUGUUUUUAUGUGAGAACUUGACACAAAUGAUAAGAACUCAACACAAAUGGUGAGGUGUAGCCCUAUUUGGAAGAGUCAAGUACAUUUGUGAUUCUCGACUAUAUGGUAAGAUGGAGCCCUAUAUGUAAGAGUCAGAGGGUUGAAAGUGACAGAAGUCUAGUUCUAUUUGCUUAUAUGAGUUGUACAUCUGAGUUCCUCAUAUAAGACCACAAUUGUGUAAUGUGGCUUUGAGAGGCCAAAAUGGGCUAUUAAUGUGAUAUUUAAUAUGUGCAGUGUUAAUCAGGUGUAUGUGG